GAUGAACGCUGGCGGCGCGCCUAAUACAUGCAAGUCGAGCGAACAGACGAGGAGCUUGCUCCUCUGACGUUAGCGGCGGACGGGUGAGUAACACGUGGAUAACCUACCUAUAAGACUGGGAUAACUUCGGGAAACCGGAGCUAAUACCGGAUAAUAUAUUGAACCGCAUGGUUCAAUAGUGAAAGACGGUUUUGCUGUCACUUAUAGAUGGAUCCGCGCCGCAUUAGCUAGUUGGUAAGGUAACGGCUUACCAAGGCAACGAUGCGUAGCCGACCUGAGAGGGUGAUCGGCCACACUGGAACUGAGACACGGUCCAGACUCCUACGGGAGGCAGCAGUAGGGAAUCUUCCGCAAUGGGCGAAAGCCUGACGGAGCAACGCCGCGUGAGUGAUGAAGGUCUUCGGAUCGUAAAACUCUGUUAUUAGGGAAGAACAAAUGUGUAAUUAACUAUGCACGUCUUGACGGUACCUAAUCAGAAAGCCACGGCUAACUACGUG
rnacentral:rRNA from 1 species